rnacentral:rRNA from 1 species
CGCGUAGGCGGCCUGUUAAGUCAGAUGUGAAAGCCCGGGGCUUAACCCCGGAAGUGCAUUUGAAACUAUCAGGCUUGAGUAUGGGAGAGGGAAGUGGAAUUCCUGGUGUAGAGGUGAAAUUCGUAGAUAUCAGGAGGAACACCGGUGGCGAAGGCGACUUCCUGGACCAAUACUGACGCUGAGGCGCGAAGGCGUGGGUAGCAAACA